GCAUGAUAGAAAAGUGUUUAAACUAAUGCGUUUAUAAGCUUUUAUUAAGGGGUGCAUGAUAGAAAAGUGUUUAAACUAAUGCGUUUAUAAGCUUUUAUUAAGGGUGCAUGUUAGAAAAGUGUUUAAACGAAUGUGUUUAUAAGCUUUUAUUAAGGGUGCAUGUUAGAAAAGUGUUUAAACGAAUGUGUUUAUAAGCUUUUAUUAAGGGUGCAUGUUAGAAAAGUGUUUAAACUAAUGCGUUUAUAAGCUUUUAUUAAGGGGUGCAUGUUAGAAAAGUGUUUAAACUAAUGCGUUUAUAAGCUUUUAUUAAGGGUGCAUGUUAGAAAAGUGUUUAAACUAAUGCAUUUAUAAGCUUUUAUUAAGGGUGCAUGUUAGAAAAGUGU